rnacentral:rRNA from 1 species
GUGUGUGGCCAAACCUCUUCAUCAAAGUCUCAGAAGCUAAGUAAGGUUGAACCUGGUUAGUCCUUGGAUGGGAGACCACAGGGAACGCCAGGUGCCACAGGGG